rnacentral:rRNA from 1 species
AGGUUAAGCGACUAAGCGUACACGGUGGAUGCCCUGGCAGUCAGAGGCGAUGAAGGGCGUGCUAAUCUGCGAUAAGCGCCGGUAAGGUGAUAUGAACCGUUAUAACCGGCGAUACCCGAAUGGGGAAACCCAGUGUGAUUCGUCACACUAUCAUUAACUGAAUCCAUAGGUUAAUGAGGCGAACCGGGGGAACUGAAACAUCUAAGUACCCCGAGGAAAAGAAAUCAACCGAGAUUCCCCCAGUAGCGGCGAGCGAACGGGGAGGAGCCCAGAGCCUGAAUCAGCAUGUGUGUUAGUGGAAGCGUCUGGAAAGGCGCGCGAUACAGGGUGACAGCCCCGUACACAAAAGCGCAUGUGCUGUGAGCUCGAUGAGUAGGGCGGGACACGUGGUAUCCUGUCUGAAUAUGGGGGGACCAUCCUCCAAGGCUAAAUACUCCUGACUGACCGAUAGUGAACCAGUACCGUGAGGGAAAGGCGAAAAGAACCCCGGCGAGGGGAGUGAAAAAGAACCUGAAACCGUGUACGUACAAGCAGUGGGAGCCCCACCACUAAGCCAGUGGUGAACUCCACAUCCGCAUCCUUUGCUGAGGAUACGGUUAACGGAGCGAAAGCGACGUUCAACCGCAAAACAAGCAGAGGGGGCUUAGUGGUGGGUGACUGCGUACCUUUUGUAUAAUGGGUCAGCGACUUAUAUUCUGUAGCAAGGUUAACCGAAUAGGGGAGCCGGAGGGAAACCGAGUCUUAACCGGGCGUUAAGUUGCAGGGUAUAGACCCGAAACCCGGUGAUCUAGCCAUGGGCAGGUUGAAGGUUGGGUAACACUAACUGGAGGACCGAACCGACUAAUGUUGAAAAAUUAGCGGAUGACCUGUGGCUGGGGGUGAAAGGCCAAUCAAACCGGGAGAUAGCUGGUUCUCCCCGAAAGCUAUUUAGGUAGCGCCUCGUGAAUUCAUCUCCGGGGGUAGAGCACUGUUUCGGCUAGGGGGCCAUCCCGGCUUACCAACCCGAUGCAAACUGCGAAUACCGGAGAAUGUUAUCACGGGAGACACACGGCGGGUGCUAACGUCCGUCGUGAAGAGGGAAACAACCCAGACCGCCAGCUAAGGUCCCAAAGUCAUGGUUAAGUGGGAAACGAUGUGGGAAGGCCCAGACAGCCAGGAUGUUGGCUUAGAAGCAGCCAUCAUUUAAAGAAAGCGUAAUAGCUCACUGGUCGAGUCGGCCUGCGCGGAAGAUGUAACGGGGCUAAACCAUGCACCGAAGCUGCGGCAGCGAACGUAUCACCCAAGACAACUUUACGGAGUUGACGAUUGACGGAGCGAAGCGACGUCAAAGCGUUCAUUAAAGUCGAGUUGGCUUAGGGAUACGUUCGUUGGGUAGGGGAGCGUUCUGUAAGCCUGUGAAGGUGUGUCGUGAGGCAUGCUGGAGGUAUCAGAAGUGCGAAUGCUGACAUAAGUAACGAUAAAGCGGGUGAAAAGCCCGCUCGCCGGAAGACCAAGGGUUCCUGUCCAACGUUAAUCGGGGCAGGGUGAGUCGACCCCUAAGGCGAGGCCGAAAGGCGUAGUCGAUGGGAAACGGGUUAAUAUUCCCGUACUUGGUGUUACUGCGAAGGGGGGACGGAGAAGGCUAUGUUGGCCGGGCGACGGUUGUCCCGGUUUAAGCGUGUAGGUGUGUGUUCCAGGUAAAUCCGGUUCACUUUAACACUGAGGCGUGACGACGAGGCACUACGGUGCUGAAGCAACAAAUGCCCUGCUUCCAGGAAAAGCCUCUAAGCAUCAGGUAACACGAAAUCGUACCCCAAACCGACACAGGUGGUCAGGUAGAGAAUACCAAGGCGCUUGAGAGAACUCGGGUGAAGGAACUAGGCAAAAUGGUGCCGUAACUUCGGGAGAAGGCACGCUGACACGUAGGUGAAGUGAUUUACUCAUGGAGCUGAAGUCAGUCGAAGAUACCAGCUGGCUGCAACUGUUUAUUAAAAACACAGCACUGUGCAAACACGAAAGUGGACGUAUACGGUGUGACGCCUGCCCGGUGCCGGAAGGUUAAUUGAUGGGGUCAGCGCAAGCGAAGCUCCUGAUCGAAGCCCCGGUAAACGGCGGCCGUAACUAUAACGGUCCUAAGGUAGCGAAAUUCCUUGUCGGGUAAGUUCCGACCUGCACGAAUGGCGUAAUGAUGGCCAGGCUGUCUCCACCCGAGACUCAGUGAAAUUGAACUCGCUGUGAAGAUGCAGUGUACCCGCGGCAAGACGGAAAGACCCCGUGAACCUUUACUAUAGCUUGACACUGAACAUUGAGCCUUGAUGUGUAGGAUAGGUGGGAGGCUUUGAAGUGUGGACGCCAGUCUGCAUGGAGCCGACCUUGAAAUACCACCCUUUAAUGUUUGAUGUUCUAACGUGGACCCGUAAUCCGGGUUGCGGACAGUGUCUGGUGGGUAGUUUGACUGGGGCGGUCUCCUCCUAAAGAGUAACGGAGGAGCACGAAGGUUGGCUAAUCCUGGUCGGACAUCAGGAGGUUAGUGCAAUGGCAUAAGCCAGCUUGACUGCGAGCGUGACGGCGCGAGCAGGUGCGAAAGCAGGUCAUAGUGAUCCGGUGGUUCUGAAUGGAAGGGCCAUCGCUCAACGGAUAAAAGGUACUCCGGGGAUAACAGGCUGAUACCGCCCAAGAGUUCAUAUCGACGGCGGUGUUUGGCACCUCGAUGUCGGCUCAUCACAUCCUGGGGCUGAAGUAGGUCCCAAGGGUAUGGCUGUUCGCCAUUUAAAGUGGUACGCGAGCUGGGUUUAGAACGUCGUGAGACAGUUCGGUCCCUAUCUGCCGUGGGCGCUGGAGAACUGAGGGGGGCUGCUCCUAGUACGAGAGGACCGGAGUGGACGCAUCACUGGUGUUCGGGUUGUCAUGCCAAUGGCACUGCCCGGUAGCUAAAUGCGGAAGAGAUAAGUGCUGAAAGCAUCUAAGCACGAAACUUGCCCCGAGAUGAGUUCUCCCUGAGACUUAGAGUCUCCUGAAGGAACGUUGAAGACGACGACGUUGAUAGGCCGGGUGUGUAAGCGCAGCGAUGCGUUGAGCUAACCGGUACUAAUGAACCGUGAGGCUUAACCUUACAACGCCGA